UGCAGACGUGGUACGACACCCGACAAGACAGAAGCUACAGAUUUCAAGCUUGGGGAGGAAUGGCGCCGGCAGUCGUCAGAUUUGUUUCCGGGCCCAAUCAACUGGUCAUCUGCCCGUUUAACAACACACAUGUCAUCCAUGCUAGACGUCUUAUCUGGCACCUUGUCAAGUGCCGAAAGAGCUACACAGGACAGCCCCUUGUAACCUGCAGGUUCUGCGCCUCACACCUAAUGCCACCUGCGAAGCUUCAAGAUCACGAACAAGAAUGUCCAUAUGGCGCGGCCUAAGAGAGCAGUUCUGCCAGCUGGAACUACAGAACCACGUGAACACUGACGGAAGAAAGACUACAAGCGUGUGAUGUGCAGAUAUAGCAUUCACAAUACAGUUUAGUAAAAACAUAGUGAUACAUUUAAGAAUAACACAGAUAAUUAUGUAGUGUUGAAGGAAUUACAAGCCAGGGUAGCUGUUGUUAAACAUAUUUUUAACAUCUACACAGUACAGAUGUAAACGUUCAAUUUUGUGUUUU